GAGUUUGAUCCUGGCUCAGGACGAACGCUGGCGGCGUGCCUAACACAUGCAAGUCGAGCGGAGCUUUUUCUGGUGGCAACACUGGGGGGAGUUCAGCGGCGAACGGGUGAGUAACACGUGAGGAACCUGCCCCAAAGACCGGGAUAACUCUCCGAAAGGGGUGCUAAUACCGGAUGUCCCUGCUGGGCCGCAUGGUCUGGUGAGGAAAUGGGUUUCCGCUUCGGGAGGGUCUCGCGGCCUAUCAGCUUGUUGGUGAGGUAAUGGCUCACCAAGGCGUCGACGGGUAGCUAGUCUGAGAGGACGAAUAGCCACACUGGGACUGAGACACGGCCCAGACUCCUACGGGAGGCAGCAGUGGGGAAUCUUGCGCAAUGGGCGGAAGCCUGACGCAGCAACGCCGCGUGGGGGAUGAAGGCUUUCGGGUUGUAAACCCCUUUCAGCAGGGACGAUCGUGACGGUACCUGCAGAAGAAGGACCGGCCAACUACGUGCCAGCAGCCGCGGUAAUACGUAGGGUCCGAGCGUUGUCCGGAUUUAUUGGGCGUAAAGAGCUCGUAGGUGGCUCCGUAAGUCGGGUGUGAAAAUCCCAGGCUCAACCUGGGGACGCCACUUGAUACUGCGGUAGCUGGAGUCUGGUAGGGGAUCUCGGAAUUCCUGGUGUAGCGGUGAAAUGCGCAGAUAUCAGGAGGAACACCAGUGGCGAAGGCGGAGAUCUGGGCCAGUACUGACACUGAGGAGCGAAAGCGUGGGUAGCGAACAGGAUUAGAUACCCUGGUAGUCCACGCCGUAAACGUUGGGCACUAGGUGUGGGGGUCUAUCGACGGUUCCCGUGCCGU
rnacentral:rRNA from 1 species